rnacentral:rRNA from 1 species
GUUGGGCACUCUAGCAGACUGCCGGUGAUAAACCGGAGGAAGGUGGGGACGACGUCAAGUCAUCAUGGCCCUUAUGGGCAGGGCUACACACGUGCUACAAUGGCCAGUACAGAAGGUUGCCAACCCGCGAGGGGGAGCUAAUCCUGAAAAGCUGGUCGUAGUCCGGAUCGCAGUCUGCAACUCGACUGCGUGAAGUCGGAAUCGCUAGUAAUCGCGAAUCAGCAUGUCGCGGUGAAUACGUUCCCGGGCCUU